CCUACGGGUGGCAGCAGUGAGGAAUAUUGGUCAAUGGACGAAAGUCUGAACCAGCCAAGUAGCGUGAAGGAUGACUGCCCUAUGAGUUGUAAACUUCUUUUAUAAGAGGAUAAACCGAGGCACGUGUACCUGGUUGCAUGUACUGUAUGAAUAAGGAUCGGCUAACUCCGUGCCAGCAGCCGCGGUAAUACGGAGGAUCCGAGCGUUAUCCGGAUUUAUUGGGUUUAAAGGGUGCGUAGAUGGGUUGUUAAGUCAGUUGUGAAAGUUUGGGGCUCAACCGUAAAAUUGCAAUUGAUACUGGUAGUCUUGAGUACAGUUGAGGUAGGCGGAAUGCGUGGUGUAGCGGUGAAAUGCUUAGAUAUCACGCAGAACCCCGAUUGCGAAGGCAGCUUACUAAACUGUGACUGACAUUGAGGCUCGAAAGUGUGGGUAUCAAACAGGAUUAGAUACCCCAGUAGUC
rnacentral:rRNA from 1 species